GACGAACGCUGGCGGCGUGCUUAACACAUGCAAGUCGAGCGGUAAGGCCCUUUCGGGGGUACACGAGCGGCGAACGGGUGAGUAACACGUGGGUGACCUGCCCUCAGCUCUGGGAUAAGCCUGGGAAACCGGGUCUAGUACCGGAUAUGACUCCAUGACGCAUGUUGUGGGGUGGAAAGCCUUGUGCGGCUGAGGAUGGGCCCGCGGCCUAUCAGCUUGUUGGUGGGGUGAUGGCCUACCAAGGCUUCGAUCGGUAGCCGGCCUGAGAGGGCGGACGGCCACACUGGGACUGAGACACGGCCCAGACUCCUACGGGAGGCAGCAGUGGGGAAUUUUUCGCAAUGGGGGAAACCCUGACGAAGCAACGCCGCGUGGAGGAUGAAGGCC
rnacentral:rRNA from 1 species